GUUUAUGGCGGCUGUGCGCGGGAGACCUUCGGGUCUGCCGGGUUCUUUGCCCCCGGGUUCCAACCUGCGUACAGCUGCCACCCUU
rnacentral:antisense_RNA from 1 species